CCCGCCUCGGCCUCCCAAAGUGCUGGGAUUACAGGCAUGAGCUACCAUGCCCGGCCUCAGAAUCCUGGGACUUCUGCUGGAGCCAGGGGUCAGAACAGACUCCUCUACUGGGACUGCCUGGCAGGGAGGACAGACGCUCAAGGCGGCCCCAUGAGAACACAGCCACCUGGAAAAAUGGUGGAAGGGAAGAUUCUGCCAACCUCCUCCGACUCCCUAUCUCAGUUACACUGGUCCAUAAUUUCUUUUCUUUUUCUUAAGUCUGUUUCAUUGGUUUCUGUUCCUGGAAAAUGGACACAAUUCUGAUGAAUUCAUGUAUUCUGCAUCCACGUGUCAGCAUCUCCAGCCUUGUGACGCAGUGCCUGGCUCAGAACAGGCAAUCAGGCCAUGGCAUCUGAAUGAAUGAGAGGGUGUGCCCUGGCCGUAUCUCAGGCAGCAGAUGCAUUCAGCUGCAGGUAACAGACACGUAGACAAACAGUGGCUUAAAAAAGAGAGGCUUUAAAAGUAUUUUGUUUUUCUUUCUUCACGUAGCAAGAAGUCUGGCAUUUGGCAUUCCCAGGCUGUGGCGUGACAGCUUUGUGAAGUUAUCAGGGUCUCAGACCCUGACAUAUUUCUGCUCUGCUACCCUCAGCAUGUAGAUUUGAUCUUCACGGCUACAAGAAACCUGCUGCUACUGCAGGCAUCUUACACGAGUUCCAGGCAGGAAGAGAAAGGAAAGGGUGACAGAGACAGAAAGCAAUGUCCCCAGAUACCCUUAGUUUUCCAUCUCAUAAGCCAGAAUGAUGUCACGUGGCAUCCCUGGAUGCACAGGAGGCUGAGAGAUAGUGGCGUUUGUUAGCUGGUCUCCUAGCCAUCCUGAAUGCCAAGUUUGUUAUAAAGAAACAGAGGCAAAAUGGCGAUCAGGCAGGCAACUGGGUGGUCUCUGCCACGGGCCCCUUGGCCAUUCUUUGUAAUGAUGGUCUUUGUCUUGGACCCUAUUUUGGAUAUUUGGGCACCUUUGUGGUACCCUUAUGUGCUGGUUUUGCUGUUGUCUGCCCUUCAGGAAUAGCAGCUGAGUCAAGCUGUCCUUGGCUGCUCCAAUCUGGAGUCAGAGGUUGGAGAUUUCCAUGGCUCCCCAUGGCUCCUUGGGGCCUCCUAAGAAAAUGUUUUAAUAAGGAAGUCCAAGGCUGAGACAGACAUGCUCCUUCUUAGAGACACAUGGGAACAUGCCUCUGCUCACAGCUGGUAGCCACAGAUGUAAACCGUAGCCCAUGGAACGGAGACAGUGAAGAAUUGAUGGAUAAAUGAAUAAUGAUGAUGGACAGCAGAUGUAUAAAAGGCAUAAAAGGAUAGUGUUAGGGCUGGAAUGUCUUCCCCCCAAUUCAUAUGUUGAACCUUUAAUGCCUAAUACUUCAGAAAGAGACUGUGUUUGAAGAUAUGGUCUUUACAGAGGGAAUAAAGUUAAAAUAAGGUCAUUAGGGUGAGCCCUAAUCCAAAGGAUGGGUGUCCUAAUCAGAGGAGGAGAUUAGGACCCAGACACACACACACACACAGAGCCAGGUGAGGACACAGGGAGAAAAUGGCCACGUACAAGCCAAGAUGAGAGGACUCAGGAAGAACCAGCCGACUCCACCCUUCAAAACUGUGAGAACAUAGAUGUCUGCUGUUUGAGCCACCCUGUCUGCAAGCAGUCAGCAAGCAUUCAUUGAGUGCUUGCAGUAUUCAAGGCACCACAGAUACAAUGUUGAAUAAGGCAAAGCACCUGCCCUCAGGUAGCUUGCAGUCAGGGAGGUAAGGGUAGUGGGCAGAGAGACCUGGAAACAGAUAUUAGACCUGCACUAAGCAUGUGUGGUUAUUGAACAGUAAAAAUGCCACCACAAAUUGCGAUAUGAUGUAAGUAAAAUGCGUACUGGCUAUUGAAGACUUGGCACAGAAAAAUAAUGUAAAAUCUCAUUAGUAAUGGUUUUAUAUUGAUUACGCAUUGAAAUAAUACUAUUUUGGACAGAUUGGGUUAAAUAAAAUAUUAAAUUUGAUUUCGCCUGUUUCUUUUAUUUUCAUUACUUAUUGGCCAUGAUAUUUUAUUUAACUUUUAACUUUUAUUUUAGAUUCAGUGGUACAUGUGCAUGUUUGUUAUACAGGUAAACUCAUGGGGGUUUGGUGUACAGAUUCUUUGUCACCUGAGUACUAAACUUAGUACCCAAGAAUUAUUUUAUCUGAUCCUCUCCCUCCUCCCACCUUCCACCCUCAAGUAGGCCCCAGUGUUUGUUGUUCCCCUUUAUGUGACCAUGUGUUCUCACAAGUGAGAACAUGUGGUAUUUGGUUGUCUGUUCCUGUGUUAGUUUGCUAUGGACAAUGGCCUCCAGCUCCACCCAUGUUCCUGCAAAGGACAUGAUCUUAUUCUUUUUUAUGGCUGAAUAGUAUCCCAUGGUGUA
rnacentral:lncRNA from 1 species